CUCACCCUGCCUGCCCAGCCGUGCCUCACCCUGCCCUGCCCUGCCUCACCCUGCCCUGCCCUGCCUCACCCUGCCGUGCCCUACCCAGAGAAAGAAGAUACUGGUACUAGGGUCAACUGGAUGUUAGUGAUGAACAUUUGACCAACUUUUCUGAUUUGGUUUUACUAACACCAGAAGGAGUGAAUAUAUUUGGACGAAACUUUGUGAAAAUGUUAUAGACAAUCUAUUGUUAAUAUUUAGAAGUUGCCAUCUGGUUAGGUUAGCUUAGAUUAGGUUAAGUUAGUUUUUAUUUAGUUUUGAGGUUUUUACAUUGUUUGAUCUCCCAUUUUUUUAAUAGCUCAACUACUGCUAAUUUCAGACGACAAUAAAGGUCAUAUUUGUAUUUAACUUGAUGAUUUAUACUAUAAAAACCCAUUUUCAAAAGUCAUUUAGGUGGUGGCACCUUCCAAAUAUUAACCGUAGUCUACCUAACUUACCAAAAUAACCGGUAAAUUUGCCAUUUUCAACCAAUAUGGCUCUCGAGCUUAGCAAUGUGUUUGGUAAAUUUAUUGACCAACUCCCAACUCCCUUUGAAGCUUAAAAUUUGAUUCAUUAAGUCAUUUGAUUCUACCGUAACAUCCAUUUAUGUCAUAAAUCUCCUGUUUCAUAGUUAUGACCCCCAAACCUAACCUAACAUCUCUGAAUGGAUUCUCGUAUCCAUUUACUGUAUCUUUUUAAUAGAAUGUAAUUAACAUCUCCACAAAGUUUCUUAACAAUCUAUUAACUCCUUCUGCUUAGUCUAAAAAUCUACCUUACCGACAACCAGACAAUUAUCCUCCAUGUAUUUUUAAUGAAACACAUUUUUAGACAUUCUGGGGGACUCUACCAAGGCCACCUAAAAGCGAAGGCCUGGGUCUCCCGUGCAAAUCUGGUGAUGACGUCACAACUGAAGGCAGACAGCACCAGUCUCCUAAACACGUAGUGAGAGAGUGGAGGAACUUAUCGGUCUACAGUACUUUUAUUCUCAUUUCUCUUUUUCUGGACUGGAUUUCAUCAAAGGGAUUGUAUAUCCACGUAAUCCUACAUGAUUAAUGGCUAAAGCUCCAACAGUGCGUGACAGAGACGUGACCGAUCGCCCAAGCGGCUAACAAGUCGAUCAGUGGCGAAGAGGAUAAAAGUAAAAGGUUCCCAACAGCCGAGCCUCAGUUACGCAACAUAAUAACUAUGGCAAAUGAAGUUGGAGGUGAAGGGUUCUCUGACUUAACAGCGGCAGAGGUGCAAGAAGAGUUAUUGGGAAAUGUUGGGGAUCCAUUUACAAGUGAUGAACUAGAACAAUUAGUGGAGCUGCAGGAUGAAACAGAAGAUGAAGUGAGUGAUGAUGAAAAUAAGAACUUAACUUUAGAUAAUCUUGGUGAAGUAAUAAGAAUAAGUAAGGCCCUCUCUGCUCGUCUCUAUGACAUUGAUC
rnacentral:lncRNA from 1 species